rnacentral:rRNA from 1 species
UACGUAGGGGGCUAGCGUUGUCCGGAAUCAUUGGGCGUAAAGAGCGUGUAGGCGGCCCGGUAAGUCCGCUGUGAAAGUCGGGGGCUCAACCCUCGAAUGCCGGUGGAUACUGUCGGGCUAGAGUGCGGAAGAGGCGAGUGGAAUUCCUGGUGUAGCGGUGAAAUGCGCAGAUAUCAGGAGGAACACCAAUUGCGAAGGCAGCUCGCUGGGACGUAACUGACACUGAGGGACGAAAGCGUGGGGAGCGAACAGG